rnacentral:miRNA from 1 species
UCUUGCCAAUACCACCCAUGCC